AUUUAUUUAUUUAUUUAUUUAUUUAUUUAUUUAUUUAUUUAAUCUCCCUUAACCAUCCUGCAAACCAUGAGUGGUAAUAGAAUAAAUUUUGACCAUUGUCCAGCCAUGUUUGUCACAGUUCCAAUUAGUUGAAAGUUGGUUUAAACAUUUCAAUAAUUGCUAUUACUUAUCUGUAUGAGCAAAUAUAGGUGAGUAACUAUUUCCCUGUAACCAUUUUCUGUCUGUUAGAAAUCACAAAUAAGCCUGAGCAUAUUUCCCUCAGUUUACUCUGUUGGAAAGUGACUGAAAGAGUCACGACGGUACAAUUGUAUUUUUUAUUUUAUUUUAUGUUUCUUCUACAAUUGUACUUUUUCCUCCUACUGAAUUCUGUCACUGCAAUAAAAAAUUAAUUUAUUUGAAGGCCGUUUAUGCAUCUUUGGUAGGGUUUCAGUUAAUGGUAAAAUCCUUUAUGUGCCUGAUAUGAUCUGUUGAAAAAUAUUAUUGCAAUGGUCUAAAUCACUUCAGUAUCACAUCAUAAUAAUCUUAGAGAUGUCUUAGUAAAGAGUGCAAAACCUAAAACGUAUGGGGAUUUUUUUUUGCUCGUCAGUGGAUCCUUUGGGUAUAACGCUGAAACAAAUAAUGGCAGAAAUCAAAUAUUUUUUUUAACAAGGUAUUUUUUUAAGUGGUGAAUUUAAACAUAAAUAAAUAAAUAAAAGAGCCUUAGUGUGAUAAAAUGUGUUUAUUUAUGUACAUUGCAUUUAAUUACAAAAGCACUGCCAGUGUAAAGCAACAAAUACACAAAGGGAUGACAAAAGUAAUAUUCUAAAUUGUAAUGGCAACAGAAGAAGCAAAAAGGUCAUAAAAUAAUCAUGCAAGAAAGUUAGUUCAUAAUCUCAGGAAAGCUGAUGCUAAAAUAAAAAAAUAUAUAUACACAAAAGGAAUUACUGAAUCAACCCAAUGGAAUAAAAAUUUGUUCCUGACAGAGAAAAUUGACUCAAUGUCCUUUUUUUUUUUGUUCCUUACAGCUGAUGUUGAACUGACGUUCUCCACUUUAACAUAAGAUCUUUGAGAUCUGCAGAGAUGCAGUCAAAAGAAUCAAAGUAAAUCUGUACAUUUACCCUUUACUUGACUUGUUUUGUAAAUUUAUCUGAACUGAAAGAAAAGUAACAAGAAGAAAAUGACCAGAGAGAGUAAAUUGUGACGUAAUUACACAUUCCAGUAAAUUAAAACCACACUGUGCUUGUCGAGCACUGAGAACUGCAGUGCCUAGACUUAGUUAGAGCUGAUUUUAUGUUGGGGUCUGAUUGAAGUACAGGUCAGCUUCCUGAGUGUUUGUUUUACUGCCUGAGAAUGACCUCCAUCGCAUCCCACUUAGACACGUAUCGAUCACAUGAAUGAAAACAAAUGAGACUAAUAAAAUCUGAGGGGAGUACUUUUACAUUCCACAGUUUGUGUUUGUCUUCUGGAGGUGUGUAUGUGCGUCUGCACUUUGUGCGCGUGUUGAUAUUUGGACUUUUUACUCUCUGUGUGCGUCUACGACGAGCUAGAGCUUGCCAUUUUGAUGCUGAUCGGCAUUGUUUACCGUUUUUUAAUCCUGUAUAGAUUCAGAUGUACAAAGACGAGUGUUGUUGUUUUGGUUUUCUUAAAGAUUGUCAGUUUUUUGUAAGCAUCACUGCACUUGUUAACGACAAUGCUGGAGCAAACCUCUCUUCACAGCAGGGUUAUUUCAUUGUGUCUGGUUUGGCUUGAGGGUUAAAACUCUUUUAAAAAAAAAAGCCUAAAGUCUUGAGAUUAAACGUCUUUAACCUGACUAUCAUGACCCAGAGUUUUUGUUUAGACCAAAGCAGCUUCCAGCAUUCUGCCCCGGAUGUCCAGUGCCCUUACUAUCUGAUUCUGCUUCACGCAAAUGGCGUCUCCUUAACAUCUCAGCUGGCGCUCCACCAAAAUGCCCCCAUUGUGCACACAUGCUUCCUGGCACAAAGCGUGCUGUGUGUGCCUUGUAAACUCUGCCACACCCUGCUCUUCACCAUAUGCGCUCGCACUCAGUUUGUCAGGAAGGGCGGGCGGGGCGGGGAGAGGUUAAAAAGGGGUGAGAUGGGAGAUGAUCAGAAUCAUCUUUGAUGUUAACUAAGUCUCAGGCCAUAGCAGAGUGUUGAGCCUCCUGAAAUAAGCAGCAAUAAAAGCUGCCCUUGAAGCUUUUUCCUGUACUUUUAUGUUCUUUUUGGAUUAAUGGAUUCGUUCUCUUUAAUUGGCCUUCUAGUGCGUGCAAGAUGGAUAGUGAUGCUCUUUUAGCAGCUUCAAGCAGCAUCUUCAUAAUGUCCUUUGGUUUUGUCGUGGGUUGGUUUGAAGAUUAUGCUCCAAAAGAAAUAUCCAACUCUUUGGAAGAUAGAACCCAUGUUUUGGGUUAAGUGACGGCUGGACAUUCCCAUUGUGUUUAUUAUACUUAUUCAUCAUUUUUUGAAUGGUUGAAUUUGGCAACUCCGGGUAUCUAGAAUUUUACCAAACAAUGAGCAAGACUUAAGGAAGUCCACAUUUCUAUUCCAGAUAUUUUGCAUUAUUUCUUUUGAUUUUUCCUUGAAACCAGUGUAUUUCACAAGCUGCUUUAAAACACAACCACAGAUUUGCCUCCAUAUGAUCAAAAUAAAUUAACUUAUUAGAGUUGUUAAUUUAACUGGUGGGUGCUGGCUUACUGUAAGGCUGUCUUUAAUUGUUUUGAUGUUACAGAGUCUAGAUGUAAAAUUUACCAGUUUACCGUGUUUAGCCAUAAUAUUGUCUUCUGAAGUUUUCCAAACUGCUUAAACCCAUAGUAGUCUUGGUACAUGAACAUUUCUAAAUUAAAAUUAAUUCUUAAAAAUUCCCAAAAAAGCAUCAUGCUCAUUAUUCUGGUAUUUAGAAAAGAUACAUAGUUUUGGUAAUCCCCACUGAUCUAAAACAACAAUAGAUUAGUUAAUGUCUCUCAGUGAAAAAAGAAAUAAUUAUGUCUUUUUAUACCAUAUAUAUAAAUAUCUGGUUCAAUAGCAGCAAACCAGGGUUUCAUUAUGAUAAUAAUUGUUUUUUGUUUUGUUUUGUUUUUUAGAAAUCAAGCUAAAAUUCUUCUUUCUACACACUCCAUGUGGUCAGUCAAUCACACCAAAAUGUUUACUGGAUAAUCUCAUGUUUCUGUUUUAGGGCAUUCAAUUAAGGAACUGCUGGAAUCAAAGAGAGGUUAACCAGCAACAUUUUUAUUUACAUAAUGUACAGAUAAUUGUGAUGUGUCCUGUAUGUAAAAAAAAAAAAAAAAAAAAAAAACAUUUAUUGGGGUUGUUAUCUGUCUGUCACUAACUCCUCUCUUUCACUUCCCUUUCUCAUUGUAGUUACUCAUCUGUGGGGUGCACAAUGUUAAAUAUCAGCCAUUUAUUUUUUUGAAAUCUGUAUAGUGUAAAUAAUAACAUAAAUGUGUAUAUAAAACAAAUAUUCUUCUGGUCUGGUAUUGAUAUACAUUUAUUUUAAAAGUGCCUUUUAAAAAAAAUUGUUCAUAGAAGACAUUUAUUACAAAGAUUCACUCGAGUGGUUCUACUAUGAAGUCAGAUGAAGCUUUAAAGAUGGUAAGUUGUGUAAAUGUCAUGUUAAAAAUUGAAGUGAAAAUCAAGCCUCAGAAAACAAGCAACAGCAUGUUAACACCUUUGCACCCAGCUUUUCCAAAGUGUUUCUUAUUCGCUGAUUUAUACAUAAAUCCAGUCUACUUCUUGCUUACUGAUGCAACACAUUAUUUAGUCGUACCUGCUUAGUUUCCAUGUAUCUCUCUUGACUGCAUCCAAUGUCCUAUUCUGUAACAAAAAUUCAACUCAACAUGCUGAAGAUGUCUUCCACACAGAUUUAAAAUUUGAUCACAUUUAGCUUUCAUUUUUCUCUCCAUUAAAAGCUGUGGUGUGUUGUCUCUUCUUUUUUUCUUUUUUUCUUUUGAGCUGUUGCACACAUCUAAUUAGGAAAACAACAUUCUCCAACUCCUACACUUUUGAGUUU